rnacentral:rRNA from 1 species
GUCCUUCGGGACGGAGAGAGCGGCGUACGGGUGCGGAACACGUGUGCAACCUGCCUUUAUCUGGGGGAUAGCCUUUCGAAAGGAAGAUUAAUACCCCAUAACAUAUGAUACGGCAUCGUAUUAUAUUGAAAACUCCGGUGGAUAGAGAUGGGCACGCGCAAGAUUAGAUAGUUGGUGAGGUAACGGCUCACCAAGUCAGUGAUCUUUAGGGGGCCUGAGAGGGUGAUCCCCCACACUGGUACUGAGACACGGACCAGACUCCUACGGGAGGCAGCAGUGAGGAAUAUUGGACAAUGGGUGAGAGCCUGAUCCAGCCAUCCCGCGUGAAGGACUAAGGCCCUAUGGGUUGUAAACUUCUUUUAUACUGGGAUAAACCUACUUACGUGUAAGUAGCUGAAGGUACAGUAUGAAUAAGCACCGGCUAACUCCGUGCCAGCAGCCGCGGUAAUACGGAGGGUGCAAGCGUUAUCCGGAUUUAUUGGGUUUAAAGGGUCCGUAGGCGGAUCCGUAAGUCAGUGGUGAAAUCUCAUAGCUUAACUAUGAAACUGCCAUUGAUACUGCGGGUCUUGAGUGAGAUUGAGGUAGCUGGAAUAAGUAGUGUAGCGGUGAAAUGCAUAGAUAUUACUUAGAACACCAAUUGCGAAGGCAGGUUACCAAGUCUUAACUGACGCUGAGG